GCGUCGGUAGUGCAACUGGUUGCAGCGCAGGGCCUCAGAAAGGGUGAAAUGCGGGUUCGAGUCCCGCUUGACGUCA